CAGAGUCAAUGUGGAGGUUAUAUACAGGGAGUACCGGUACAGAGUCAAUGUGGAGGCUAUAUACAGGGGGUACCGGUACAGAGUCAAUGUGGAGGUUAUAUACAGGGAGUACCGGUACAGAGUCAAUGUGGAGGCUAUAUACAGGGGGUACCGGUACAGAGUCAAUGUGGAGGCUAUAUACAGGGAGUACCGGUACAGAGUCAAUGUGGAGGCUAUAUACAGGGGGUACCGGUACAGAGUCAAUGUGGAGGCUAUAUACAGGGGGUACCGGUACAGAGUCAAUGUGGAGGCUAUAU